CGCGUAGGCGGGGUCGCGGGUCGGCUGUGAAAUCCACCGGCUCAACCGGUGAACUGCAGUCGAAACUGCGACUCUUGAGCUUGGUAGAGGAGGACGGAAUUCCUGGUGUAGCGGUGGAAUGCGUAGAUAUCAGGAAGAACACCGGUAGCGAAGGCGGUCCUCUGGGCCACAGCUGACGCUGAGGCGCGAAAGCUGGGGGAGCGAACA
rnacentral:rRNA from 1 species